rnacentral:rRNA from 1 species
AUGCUGAUCUGGUCCAUGAGGGACCGCCGGAUGUGGCCCGGCGGCGUCUCGGUGAUGCCCGCCAGGUACACGUCGGAGGAGAGGUCGAACUUGAGGGUGGCCAUGGGCGUGUUGGGCUUCUUCACCAGGUCGUCCUCCAGCAUGAUCUCCGCCACCCGGGACAGGAUGCUGAACGCCACCCCUACAAGAACCCUCGAGUAG